rnacentral:rRNA from 1 species
AUUGAACGCUGGCGGCAGGCCUAACACAUGCAAGUCGAACGGUAGCACAGAGAGCUUGCUCUCGGGUGACGAGUGGCGGACGGGUGAGUAAUGUCUGGGAAACUGCCCGAUGGAGGGGGAUAACUACUGGAAACGGUAGCUAAUACCGCAUAAUGUCGCAAGACCAAAGAGGGGGACCUUCGGGCCUCUUGCCAUCGGAUGUGCCCAGAUGGGAUUAGCUAGUUGGCGAGGUAAUGGCUCACCAAGGCGACGAUCCCUAGCUGGUCUGAGAGGAUGACCAGCCACACUGGAACUGAGACACGGUCCAGACUCCUACGGGAGGCAGCAGUGGGGAAUAUUGCACAAUGGGCGCAAGCCUGAUGCAGCCAUGCCGCGUGUAUGAAGAAGGCCUUCGGGUUGUAAAGUACUUUCAGCGGGGAGGAAGGCAAUGCGGUUAAUAACCGUGUUGAUUGACGUUACCCGCAGAAGAAGCACCGGCUAACUCCGUG